rnacentral:rRNA from 1 species
GACGAACGCUGGCGGCGUGCUUAACACAUGCAAGUCGUACGGUAAGGCCCUUUCUUGGUUGCACGCGUGACUAACGGACGAGUAACACGUAAGUAACCUGCCCACCACUUUCGGAUAGCGAUAGGAAACUGACUCGAAUACUUGAUAGGUGCGCCUGCUGCAUGGAUGGGGUUGGGAAGCUCCGGCGGUUGUGGGUGGACUCGCCGCCUUUCAGCCUGUUGGUGGGGUAGUGGCCUACCAAGGGGGCGACGGGUAGCCGGGCUGGGAGGGUGACCGGGCACCUUGGGACUGGGAUACGGGCCAGACUCCUACCGGGGGGAGGAGUGGGGAAUAUUGCACAAAGGGCGCCAGCCUGAUGCAGCAACGCCGCGGGCGGGAAGACGGGCUUCGGGUUGGAAAACGCUUUCAGCAGGGACGGAGCUUUUUGUGACGGUACCUGCAGAAGAAGCACCGGCUAACUACGUG